CUGAAUGGAGCUCAGAGGUAGGGGUCUCCAGCAGUCCUCCAAGCAUCAGAGACUUUGGCCAUUGUUUUUUUCUACAGGUUGCCAAUUCACAGCCAUCAUAUGUGUACCAGGUUGUGACUUCAACCCCUUCUGUCGAUUGUGUCCUACCAAGCCGAAUGUCUCUGUGGCGGUGGAGUGUGCAGAUUUCUCACAUCUGCAGGGUGUUUUGCUUUUAAGUGUGGAGAAGCAAGCACACUUGGCAGCAAGUGAUCUGUAUGGACGAUAAAGCUGGAUUCAUCAUUGGUAUAUUGGAAGGUACUGCUAGUACAAAUGCUACACAGAGUACAUGCAUGUUGACAGCUGACGCUCCAAAACCUGAGAUAUUCAAGGCACGCAAUAUUAUUCAAUACUAUUUUAAUGGAGAGCUGAAGUUCCCUCAAAUGAUUAGCAUUUAUUCCUUUAAAUGUGUGUUUGGUGAUGUCCUUAAACCAAGACAGUAAAAUAAAUGACU